AGAGGGUGCGAGUGUUGUUCGGAAUCAUUGGGCGUAAAGGGCGUGCAGGCGGUUUGAUAAGUCAGAUGUGAAAGCCCUGGGCUCAACCCAGGAACUGCAUUUGAUACUGUCAGACUAGAGUACGGUAGAGGAUAGUGGAAUUCCCGGUGUAGAGGUGAAAUUCGUAGAUAUCGGGAGGAACACCAGUGGCGAAAGCGACUAUCUGGGCCGCUACUGACGCUGAGACGCGAAAGCGUGGGGGGAGCAAACAGGAUUAGAUACCCUGGUAGUCCACGCUGUAAACGAUGAGCACUAGAUGUCGGGGGAAUUGACCCCCCCCGGUAUCGCAGCUAACGCGAUAAGUGCUCCGCCUGGGAAGUACGGCCGCAAGGCUA
rnacentral:rRNA from 1 species